UGGGGAAUAUUGCACAAUGGAGGGAACUCUGAUGCAGCGACGCCGCGUGAACGAAGAAGGCCUUCGAGUCGUAAAGUUCUUUUAUAUGGGAAGAUAAUGACGGUACCAUAAGAAGAAGCCCCGGCUAACUACGUGCCAGCAGCCGCGGUAAUACGUAGGGGGCUAGCGUUGUCCGGAAUCACUGGGCGUAAAGGGUUCGCAGGCGGAAAUGCAAGUCAGGUGUAAAAGGCAGUAGCUUAACUACUGUAAGCAUUUGAAACUGCAUAUCUUGAGAAGUGUAGAAGUAAAAUGGAUUUUUAGUGUAGCGGUGAAAUGCGUAGAUAUUAAAAAGGAAACCGGUGGCGAAGGCGAGUUACUGGGCUCAUUAUGGCGCUGAAGAACGAAAGCGUGGGUAGCAAACAGG
rnacentral:rRNA from 1 species